UCGCGCCUCCACCUCCGCCGCUUUACUCCCGAUGGGCGAACCACGCCCACCUCGACCGCCGGCCUCUCGCGCCCUCCGUCGCCUCCCACCUCCACCGCUGCUGCUUCUCUCCGGAUCCGCUCUCCGCACCCGCCGCCCCACUCUGCCCUUGCAUCCUCGUCACCGCGCGGCUAACCCUCCGGCCUCCACCCCUCUCCCUCUCUUUCUCCUCAGAUCUGCGAGCUGCUCCCUCUCGCUCAUCGAGGGCCGCGGCCACCGUCUCCCUUGACCUCGUCGCCGCCGCGACGGCCCUCUGGCGCGGCAGCCGUCUGGGCACAUGGAGGAAGGCCGGGCGAGCUCCAAGCCUCAGCCCCGGCAGAUAUACAAUGUAUAGUGGCCGCUGCCAGUGCGGACUCGGGCCCCCUCCUCGCCGCGCCUCCCCGCCGGGGGGCUCAUCCAAUUGCUCCUCUCCUGCGGAGUGGUUGAGGUCCGCAGACUCAUCCACCAGCGGCUGCUGCAUCCGACUCAACAAACAGCGAUUCAAGUUUGCGUAUUAUUUAGACCUUUUCUACCACUCGGCCAUCUCCUUCUCUCCAUCAUGGCUGUGAUAGGCAUAUGGACGAAGCAGCAGGCAGCAGCGGCCAUACCUGAUCCAUGGGAAUGACGGGGCUCCUCCAUGGCAUCUUGAAUUUCUUGAUUCCCUUCUUCACGGCCUUGACUAAGAUUUAUCUAUUUUCUAAUUGUACCAGCAGUUUACCUCACGCCAUAAUUGUUGCCUGUAAAGUGCUCGAAAGAAUGCUCCAGUGGUGACAUGAUGUUUGGAUCUCUGUUGGCAAAGGAGCAAUUCUUUGGUAAAGUUGAAGUUGGGUUAGCAUAUUCGCUCACUGCUGCUACUUCGCCUACAAUUUCACACAUUUGAGUUCUUCCUCUCUUGCCCCUAACUGUGAAUUGGUCUUGUAAAUUGCAUUGAGACUAUAGCCUUCUGUUUUUCAGAUUUCUACAGGUUUUGUUUGUACUGCAGCUGUGUUAGUAUUGACGCCCUCCUGUGCAUUGAUUGAUUGGAUGAGAUAUUGUUGUAUGUCUUUCAGGAUUAUUGCUUCUGAAUGAGCGUGGGAAAAAGGGAGAGCUGUGGACAGAGGUGUUGUCAUAGGAGCUCGCAUGGAAUUCUCUCAGCUGUGAGCCCCCUGUCUCAGCCGGUGGCAGUAGGCGCAUGCACCAAAUGGCUCUCUUGUUGGCGUUGAGUCAGACCUCUAGGUGAUUUAAAGGGUUAAAGAACUGGCGGUUAGAAUAGAAGCCUCGCAGAGAAGAAAUCAUUGUAGCCAAAUGUUCUGCCACAACACUCAUCAAAACUGAUACGUGUUGAAAAAGAAUUCUUUGCUUAGUUACUGCUGCUGGUUCAUACUCUUGGUGAAAACUAUCUUUUGUUUUUUUUCUGGUUCAUUUUGUUGUCUUUGGUCCUGCAAUGUUAGAUUGCUAGUUCUAAUUCAUGGAAAACACUAUGUGAUCCAUUAUUCUGGUGUCAUGAUGUUUGAUGCAAAUAUUAUUGAUAUGAGGUUAUAAUUUGGGCUGUAAUUGCUUAUUGUGACUUUUGGGCUGUAACUUUUGUUUUGGUAAAUGGGUUGUGUAUAAGCUGAA